GUGGGGAAUCUUGCGCAAUGGGCGAAAGCCUGACGCAGCCAUGCCGCGUGAAUGAUGAAGGUCUUAGGAUUGUAAAAUUCUUUCACCGGGGACGAUAAUGACGGUACCCGGAGAAGAAGCUCCGGCUAACUUCGUGCCAGCAGCCGCGGUAAUACGAAGGGGGCUAGCGUUGCUCGGAAUUACUGGGCGUAAAGGGCGCGUAGGCGGACAGCUUAGUCAGAGGUGAAAGCCCAGGGCUCAACCUUGGAAUUGCCUUUGAUACUGGCUGUCUUGAGUGUGGGAGAGGUGGGUGGAACUCCGAGUGUAGAGGUGAAAUUCGUAGAUAUUCGGAAGAACACCAGUGGCGAAGGCGACUCACUGGCCCAAUACUGACGCUGAGGCGCGAAAGCGUGGGGAGCAAACAGGAUUAGAAACCCCAGUAGUCC
rnacentral:rRNA from 1 species